rnacentral:SRP_RNA from 2 species
GCGGGGCGUGGUGGCGGAUGCCUGUAAUCCCAGCUACCUGGGAGGCUGAGGCAGGAGAAUUGCUUGAACCCAGGAGGCAGAGGUUGCAGUGAGCCGAGAUCGUGCCACUGCACUCCAGCCUGGGUAACAGAGCAAGACUCUGUCUCCA